ACUUAACUACUUAACGACGUACGU
rnacentral:siRNA from 1 species